UGGGAAGGCGGGGCCGCGGCCAGGAGGCUCGACGCCAGGAUGCUCCCGCCUGGGGCUGGUCCCCGCGAUGCCUUUCCUGAAUAAGGCCCGGUGGUGGGGCGAGGCCCAGGAGCGCUUUCGGUGGCCCGGCAUCCAGAGCCUCCAGAUGAAAACUCAGCUCAGCUGACCCCUUUAUUUCUGCUUCGUGGUUCACUUAGUAGAGGACCCAGUCACACCAUGCUGGACGUCAGAACUACGGAAUUAAAUCUUCUGACAUCUUCAACUGCUCUGUGAAAUCUACUAUGCUAUGGUAAUAAGAAAUCCUCUAUGUGGUCAUAGGUCUGAGCUAAAGGAGGUGCACAGGAACAAUAUUGAAUGAGAAAAAGGAGCCUUAAACUUCCAAGAUCACACAACGAUUUGUUGGAGGACCUAAGAAUUCAAACCCAGUACAAAAUUUGAAAAGGCUAAAUUGAAGUGUGAGUUAACACAAGAACUGCUUGUGAUGAGUAAAAUGUGAAGGAGAAACUUGGACAGAGACAGGCAUAUGGGGAGAACUCCAUAUGAAGAUUGGAGGUCUGCAGCCACAAGCCAAAGAACUACCAGAAGCCAGGAUAGAAGCCUGGAACAGAGCCUUAGAGCCUUCGGAGGGAGCUGUCCCUGCUGACACCUUGAUCUCAGACUUCUAGCCUCCAGGACUGAGAGGUUCAACUUCUGUGGUUAUAGGUACUCAGUUUGCAGUACUUCGUUACUUUGUUACAGCAGCCCUAGCAAACUAAUGCACAUCUUAUCCACAUCGAGGAUUUCAACUGCCAUUAUAAGCCUACCGUUUUCCAGGGAGGAGAUUUCCAAAGUGUGUGCCUCUGAACACUGGUCCCUGGAGAGGCUCCGUGGAGAAGUGCAUUAUGGCUACAUAUCUGGAGCUCUGCAACACAUUGUAAAAAAUUGUCUCUCAGUAAUCCUGCAACCACGAGGCCAGAAUUCCUCCCAUAAUUGACUAAAGAACAUUUUUCAUUAUAACAUGUCUUGAGACUUUUGUUCUGGAGAUAUGCAGCUCUAGUGAAAUGAACUGCAGCCUUUCAAAUUUAUUGUCAUUUGAUUAAAAAAACCUCCUAUUACAAACCAGAUGAUGUCAUAAAUAUGUUUUAAAUUAACAUUGUUUUAAGAAUUUGGAAAAAACUAACACUCUUUGUAAUAACCUGUAAUGCUUUUGCAUUUCCCCAAGCACAUUUUGCUAACUGCUGCUUUAGAGACAU